rnacentral:lncRNA from 10 species
GGGAUUACAGGUAUAAGCCACCGUGCCUGGCAGGCUUUUUCUUUUUUGUGGUGAGUGCAUGGUGGUGAAGAUUUCAAUAAUGAUGACACAGGUCAGUGUCACUGUCCAGAUUUCCACUGAGAUGCAUUUCACCCAUCCUUGCUUUUGCAUCAUCAGUACAAAUAUUCACAUAGUGACACCCCACAUCUUAGUCUGAUUAUGAAGUUUUGACCUCGCAGACCUCCAGAAAGGGUCUCAGGGACCCUUGGGCACCUGUGGGAUGAUGUCUUGUGAACUGCUGGACUAGCACUAGAGAGAGACAUCUUAAUGUCAGCCUCUUUGUAGGAGCAGAUAGGGUGUUUUUCAGGCGCUAAAGCAAAGGAAGGCUUAGUUCAGAUUCUGGGCAGAUGGACCCAACAGGGCCAUUAGCUGGGCCUGGUCCAUUUACAGCAAACUUAUUUUCCCCUGCAUCUCCUGGGUCAUGCUUCCUGGGGACAAACCCCAGUCUUUCCCAGGAAGAGCUCACUCACAUCUGGUGGCAUAGAGGCCCAGAACCGAACUGUCAGUGAUGCCAAACUGGAUGCUAUGUGAGGACAGGCUGGGCAUUGGGAAAGGCUUUGGGAGGAUGUGGAGGAGAAAAUGGUCAGUCUUCAGAGAUGAGGACUUCUUUGGACAGAAUGUGGGGGAAGACAUUUUAAACUGUGGGCAUUGCUUGAGGAAAGGUACCAGUUCUGAAGUGUGAAACCCACCGAGGAGAGAGACGUGCAGUUCAAGUAGUAGUGUUCUGGCUGGGUGCAGC